rnacentral:tRNA from 1 species
CGGGGCAUAGCGCAGCCUGGUAGCGCACCUGCUUUGGGAGCAGGGGGUCGUGGGUUCGAAUCCCUCUGCCCCGACCA